rnacentral:lncRNA from 1 species
AGGUGUGGUGCAGUAUCUUGUUCAAGGUUAUGCAGUGAGUCAGUAUUGAACCAGGAACCUGGUUCACCUCCUUUUGACUAAGAGACAAAAGCACCCUUCCAAGCAGGGAAUAGGAGCCAGGAUGCCCUGCUCUGGCCCAGUGACUAACUUGGCUGACCUUCAGGCAUCUCAGCUCUGACUAUGUUGCAGAGGAGUGAAAUGUUUCUUGUGAUUUGACGUUGCUGUACUGCAUAUGAUGAAAGCUACCUUGCAAAUGGACUCACUGAUGAUUAACCAUGGCAUAAAGAAUGAAACUGCUUGGAGGCUUUUCCUAGUGAUCUAG